rnacentral:rRNA from 1 species
ACGAACGCUGGCGGCGUGCUUAACACAUGCAAGUCGAACGGAAAGGCCCCUUUGGGGGUACUCGAGUGGCGAACGGGUGAGUAACACGUGAGUAACCUGCCCUUGACUUCGGGAUAACUUCAGGAAACUGGGGCUAAUACCGGAUAGGAAUCCUUGCUGCAUGGUGGGGAUUGGAAAGCUUCGGCGGUUUUGGAUGGACUCGCGGCUUAUCAGCUUGUUGGUGGGGUAGUGGCUUACCAAGGCUUUGACGGGUAGCCGGCCUGAGAGGGCGACCGGCCACAUUGGGACUGAGAUACGGCCCAGACUCCUACGGGAGGCAGCAGUGGGGAAUAUUGCACAAUGGGCGGAAGCCUGAUGCAGCAACGCCGCGUGCGGGAUGACGGCCUUCGGGUUGUAAACCGCUUUCAGCAGGGGCGAAGCUUGUGGUGGCGGUACCUGCAGAAGAAGCACCGGCUAACUACGUG